rnacentral:rRNA from 1 species
GUUUUGUAAUUGGAAUGAGUACAAUCUAAAUCCCUUAUCUAGCAUCACUUGGAGGGCAAGUCUGGUGCCAGCAGCCGCGGCCCUUCCAGCUCCAAUAGCGGAUAUUAAAGUUGUUGCAGAUAAAAAGCUCGUAGGUGGAUUUCUGAUAGGAGCGGCCAUGCCGGACUCGAUUGUCCGUGCAAUGCGUUGUCUCCAGUCAUCCUCGUGGAGAACAUUUCUGGCAUUAAUUUGUCGNAUUUGGGACCCCCGUCAUUUACUGNGAAAAAAUUANAGNGUUUAAAGCAGGCAACUGGCUUGAAUACAUUAGCAUGGAAUAAUAANAUAGGACUUUGGUGCUAUUUUGAUGGCUUGCACCUCAAGGUAAUGAUUAACAGAAUCAGUCGGGGAUAUCCGUAUGCACAUGUCAGAGGUGAACUGCUUGGAUUUUUUACANACGAACUACUGCGAAAGCAUUUAUCAAGGAUGUUUUCAUUAAUCAACAACGAAAGNUAGGGGAACGAAGAUCAUUAGAUACCAUCGUAGUCUUAACCGUAAACUAUGCCGACUUGC